rnacentral:rRNA from 1 species
GUUUGCGGCUCAACCGUAAAAAUUGCCUUUGAUACUGGUAAUUCUUGAGUACAUUUGAGGUAGGCGGAAUGUGAUGUGUAGCGGUGAAAAUGCUUAGAUAUAUCACAGAACACCGAUUGCGAAGGCAGCUUACUAAACUGUAACUGACGCUGAGGCACGAAAGCGUGGGUAUCGAACAGGAUUAGAUACCCUGGUAGUCCACGCCGUAAACGAUGAUUACUAGUUGUUUGCAAUACAUCGUAAGCGACAAAGCGAAAGCAUUAAGUAAUCCACCUGGGGAGUACGUUGGCAACAAUGAAACUCAAAGGAAUUGACGGGGGCCCGCACAAGCGGAGGAACAUGUGGUUUAAUUCGAUGAUACGCGAGGAACCUUACCUGGACUUAAAUGGGGAGUGACAGGGGUAGAGAUACCUUUUUCUUCGGACACUCUUCAAGGUGCUGCAUGGUUGUCGUCAGCUCGUGCCGUGAGGUGUCGGGUUAAGUCCCAUAACGAGCGCAACCCACGUCUUUAGUUACCAGCACGUAAUGGUGGGCACUCUAGAGAGACUGCCGGUGUAAACCGCGAGGAAGGUGUGGAUGACGUCAAAUCAGCACGGCCCUUACGUCCAGGGCUACACACGUGUUACAAUGGCCGGUACAGAGGGCAGCUACAGGGUGACCUGAUGCGAAUCUCCAAAACCGGUCUCAGUUCGGAUCGAAGUCUGCAACCCGACUUCGUGAAGCUGGAUUCGCUAGUAAUCGCAUAUCAGCCAUGAUGCGGUGAAUACGUUCCCGGGCCUUGUACACACCGCCCGUCAAACCAUGGAAGCCGGGGGUACCUGAAGUCUGUCACCGUAAGGAGCGGCCUAGGGUAAAUCUGGUAACUAGGGUUAAGUCGUAACCAAGGUAA